CACGUAGGGGACGAGCGUUGUCCGGAAUCAUUGGGCGUAAAGCGCGCGUAGGCGGUCUGUCGCGUCGGCUGUGAAAACUCGGGGCUCAACUCCGAGCUUGCAGUUGAUACGGGCAGGCUAGAGUUCGGCAGGGGAGACUGGAAUUCCUGGUGUAGCGGUGAAAUGCGCAGAUAUCAGGAGGAACACCAGUGGCGAAGGCGACUUACUGGACUGUAACUGACACUGAGGCAUGAAAGCGUGGGGAGCAAACAGG
rnacentral:rRNA from 1 species